GCCUAAAGCGUCCGUAGCCGGCUCUGUAAGUUUUCGGUUAAAUCCAUAUGCUCAACAUAUGGGCCGCGGGGAAUACUGCAUAGCUAGGGAGUGGGAGAGGUAGACGGUACUCCGUAGGAAGGGGUAAAAUCCUUUGAUCUAUGGAUGACCACCUGUGGCGAAGGCGGUCUACCAGAACACGUUCGACGGUGAGGGAUGAAAGCUGGGGGAGCAAACCGGAUUAGAUACCCGGGUAGUCCCAGCUGUAAACUAUGCAAACUCAGUGAUGCAUUGGCUUGUGGCCAGUGCAGUGCCGCAGAGAAGUCGUUAAGUUUGCCGCCUGGGAAGUACGUACGCAAGUAUGAAACUUAAAGGAAUUGGCGGGGGAGCACCACAAGGGGUGAAGCCUGCGGUUCAAUUGGAGUCAACGCCAGAAAUCUUACCCGGAGAGACAGCAGGAUGAAGGUCAAGCUGAAGACUUUACCAGACAAGCUGAGAAGUGGUGCAUGGCCGUCGCCAGCUCGUGCCGUGAGGUGUCCUGUUAAGUCAGGUAACGAGCGAGAUCCUUGCCUCUAGUUGCCACCAUUACUCUCAGGAGUAGUGGGGCGAAUUAGCGGGACUGCCGUAGUUAAUACGGAGGAAGGAGAGGGCCACGGCAGGUCAGUAUGCCCCGAA
rnacentral:rRNA from 1 species